CAGACUUAUGUUGUGCAUUCUCAUUAAUAUUACUGGAAGAAGGAAGAGGAGGAGGACGAAAUGUAAUCUCUUUACGACCUGCAAAGUUUCUUUCUGUAAUUUGGCUCGUGAUAGUUGUUGUACGAGCAUUAGUACCAGGAUUGGGUGAAGGAGAACGAAUCGGAGUUUUCUGUAGAGAUGGUAACAAAAGGUAUUCAUGUUUUUUUUCCUUUAGAAUUCUACCUGCUUCACUUGUUUGGCUCAUACAAAUUGUGAAAAUAAGUACAUGUAAUAAUAUGAAUAUCAUAGGAACGUUAGAAGAAAAAAUGUUACUUUGAGUUGUCAUCAUGUUGGUUUUUGUUGGAAAAGAGUGGGAAUAUAAUGAAGGAAUUGUACUUUGG
rnacentral:lncRNA from 1 species